GAUGAACGCUGGCGGCGUGCUUAACACAUGCAAGUCGAACGGUAAGGCCCUUCGGGGUACACGAGUGGCGAACGGGUGAGUAACACGUGGGUGAUCUGCCCUGCACUUCGGGAUAAGCCUGGGAAACUGGGUCUAAUACCGGAUAGGACCACUGCCUGCAUGGGUGGUGGUGGAAAGCUUUUGCGGUGUGGGAUGGGCCCGCGGCCUAUCAGCUUGUUGGUGGGGUGAUGGCCUACCAAGGCGACGACGGGUAGCCGGCCUGAGAGGGUGACCGGCCACAAUGGGACGGAGAUACGGCCCAGACUCCUACGGGAGGCAGCAGUGGGGAAUAUUGCACAAUGGGCGCAAGCCUGAUGCUGCGACGCCGCGUGAGGGAUGACGGCCUUCGGGUUGUAAACCUCUUUCAGCACCGACGAAGCGCAAGUGACGGUAGGUGCAGAAGAAGGACCGGCCAACUACGUGCCAGCCGCCGCCGUAA
rnacentral:rRNA from 1 species